rnacentral:tRNA from 1 species
AACCGUGCGGCCGGCGGCAGAAGGUGCGCCGCUUCCGGCAGCGCGAUUUCCAUUGUCGCGAUCGUAUCGGGGUUCAGUUCC